AAUGAACUCUCCUUCCGAGACACUCCUCCCUGCAAAAGGAUCUGCUGUGGGAAGCCAUGGAGAAGGUCUUCACCUACAGAGCCACCAUCUAAUCCCCCAUAUAGGCCUCUCUGCGCUCCCAGUCACGAUGGCCACCAUCAAGCAAAACCAAGCCUGCCACUGUAAAGCCAAAGACUCCCCCACUGGGGACCAGCCGGAGCCCCUCCCCUUUCCCCCCGGCCCCAGGCUACAUCUAGCCCACGGGCCCUCACUCCAUUCUCAGCUCUUUCAUGGCUUGGAUGCCCAAGAGUCUGAGAACCUGAUGACCCUGGUCUUCUUGCUGGCCUGGGGACCCCCAAGCCAGCCCAGGCUGUUCUGCACCUCAGACUGUGCUUCCCCACCCCCAGAGCGCUGUCCCGAGGCUGUCCUAUAGCCUGACACCCGCCUGGGCAGCAACAGCGUGGGGUAAGUGCAGUCAACUUCCUGUGUCCUGCCUCCCUGAGCAGCGGUGCCCAUGGCAGAUGGGAUGUGGGACCCCGCCCAACCCUACACUCCACCACACUGGGCUUCAGCUCUGAGUCCUCACUUCAUUCCUUCAGUGAGGGCUGGAGUUGGGCAGCACAGGGAAAGAGGACAGAGAGAAUCUUUUGGGGUGACAGGUUGGGGACCUCCCCUGGGUGACACUCAUCUCCUGACUGACUUUUGGGGUCUAGCCUCAGUCACUUGGCUCCAAUCCUCAUUCCUCUGAGUUCCCCAGCUCCAGUCCUCCCUGGGGCCCUCCUGAGCUUGGCUGGGAGCCUCCUUGAGUGGUGUAUGCUGGUGAGUCCUCACCCCGGGUUUCUGUCUACAUGGUGGGGAUAAGGACCCACAAGUGUCAGGAAGCCACUCACAGGGGAUGUGGGAUGGAUGACAGAUCUGCCAACAGUGGUCCAUGGGGCUUCUGAUGGUACAAACUCAGGGAUGAGCCUGUCCCAUGAAUUUCCUACAAAAGCUAUGCAUAAGUGUCAUUUUGGGGAUCCCUGGUGUGGAUUAGCUGUGUUCUUCCACCCCCAAUCUUGACCUUUGUAAUCUGAAAGUAGCUUUCCUUACCAGACAGUUUCUGCUGGUGAGAUCCAGUUUAGAGGACGUCACUGCAGGCUACGGUAGGUCAGUGCCUGCUGCUCUUUAAGGGGGACAUUUAGACACACAGGGAAGUGACUGGCAGAGGCAGAGGGUAGAAUUUGCUGCCACAGGCUGGUGAGAGCUGGGAGACAUACGUGAGUCUCAAUCUCCCUGGGAACCCCAAGGAGGAUCCAGGCCUGCUCUACCCUUGGCCUUUGGGGUUAGUCUCCAGGACUGGGAGAGAACAGAGGCUGUUGUUUGAAGUUUCCAUGCUGGUGGUCCUGAUCCCAGCAGUCCUGGGAAAUGCAUAGGGAUGCCAGAGAUGAAGAAACUGAAGCCCAGAGAGGUUAAGUCCUUAGCCCAAGACACACAGCAAGCUGGCACUGAUGUCAGACAGACUCCAGGGCUGUUUGGCAACCAAGCUCAUUCCCCUGGCUGGGGACUGAUGCGACUGGCCACCUUGUUUCGGGAUCGUUUGUAUGUAGGGUCCACACCAUGGGUCUAUCUCCCCAAGGACAACUGCCAAAGUGCAGAUUUGAGACAGACACAUGGGGCCAGCAGGAGACCCCAUGCCAUGCUUCUCAGAACACAAGCAGGAGAAAGGAGCACAGCAUUCAUACCAAGGUGACCAGAUAUGAGGGUCAAGCUCAGCUUCUUACAGUGUCCCCACGACACUGUAAGACACAGUACACUUAGUACCUAGUGCUCUGGACAAGGUUUCCAGAAGUUUCAGUCUCAACCCUCACCAGCCUGGAAACCUGAGAAACUCACUUCCUCCACCUUAGUUUCCCCAUCUGAAGAAUGGGUAUGGGCUCACAGGGCCUAGGAUGUAGGGAGGGAACAUCUUGGGGCAUUUUAGGGACAAAGGACCCCUUGUUUCUAAAGUUUCAACACCCACACAGACUGUGGGAUGACGCAGGGGAGGUGAUCUGGGGACAGAUUCCGCCGUGGCUAAGGGGAGGGGAGGAAAGCAAGGGACUGCAUCCUAGCCUCGCAUUCCCUUGGGAAACAGGAAGUCCAUUCUGCACAGGCGCUGCUCUGGCUCCAGGAAGCCAGAUGACCCUUUCCUCUCCUGUCUCCUCCCAACUGGGGAAGGAAUUCACUAUACUGUCAACAGCCCUGCCCAGCUUCUGACUAUGGCUCUCAGAGCUGGGGAGGUGGGGCAAGGUACUGCCAAGACGCCCCCUCAUCCUACUGGGUAAGGUUUACUGAGGCUCAGAGAGCCUAAGGCACCUGCUUCAGGCCACACAGCACACACAGCACACACAGCACACACAGCACACAGGGCCGGUGUGGUUAGAACUUGGUAGUUAGGAGUUCUCAUGCUUAGCAGGACCGAUGUCACAGGAGAGCAGGGCGCCACCACUCUCAUGGCAAGCCACUCAAGGCCAGCCCCCUUCCCUGAGGACCUCCAACUGCCAGAUUCCACCCACAGAACACUCUACCUAUCCUAACAGCCUGACACAGGCCAUGUCUCAGUCACCCAGAAUGUCAGCAUCAGGCUUGGACUCAUCCAGCCCCAACCCCUACCCCUGUAACUGACAGCAGGCUGUCUACUACAAUGUUGCCUCCACAAUGUUACCUACUACAAUGUCUCCUGGACAGUGUGACCCACAAAGGCAGGCUGCUUUGCCCUGGCUGUAUGCAUGGAGGCACCUGUUCUCCUGAGUACAUCAGGAUGCCACAAGACCCUCAUUAUGCUUCCAGGAGAGUCUCCCGGGGAAGCUCUUUGCUUAUCCAUUUCUUCCUGUUCAAAUGCAGACAAAGGGCUGGAACCUUGGCACCCAUUCUGGGAUAGCGAGGCUCUGAAGAGGGAGGUGCAUGUGGAGGAUGCCUAAGGUAUGAGAGGGAAGGAACACAGUGCCCUCGGAUGCACCUCUUCUAGCCUGUUUUUUUGUUUUUGUUUUUAAGUUGCUGUGACUUCCUUCUCCUUUUCCUCUUGCUCCUCCUUCCCUCCUCCUCUCAUAUGGCCCAGGUUGACCCUGAGGUUACUAUGUAACUCAGGCUGGCCUUUAACUCUAGAUGACUCCUGUCUCAGUCCCUUAAGUGCUCGUGAAUGACUACGCGAGGUAAGCUGGCAUUUAAACAGAGGAUACGGCGGUUCAGAGGUAGAUAUGACGACUAUAUGAAGACUAGAUCACCGGAGUGGGUAAGAACUUGUGUGGGGAAAGCCGCAGCAGGGAAGGGUGAUUCCAUUGUCUCUAGUAGCCAGCAGCAGCUGACCCCAGUGUAGGCAGAGCGUGCCCUGGGUGCAACUGGAGAGGGAUUCAUGGACAGCGAUGGAGCCACCCUGGGGCUUCCAGGAGUAUGGAUGGGGUGGAUGAGGGUCUUGCCACUGUUCUGAGUCCUUGACACGGCAUGGGAUAGUGACAGGAAGACAGGACCCAAGUGCUAUCUGUACAAGUGUCUGACAGGCAAGUGCUGAGGCCCAAGGUGCUACAUGGAAAGUCAGGGUGCUCCACUGGCAGACAUCCCAAGGUGCUCCACUGAAAUUCCAAGGUGCUCCACUGAAAUCCUAAGGUGCUCUAUGGAAAGGUCAGUGCCCGCUUGCAAGUUGGGGAAGAAGCAUCCUCAGCAGAGUCUUCUAUUGAGCAUAUGACCUUGCCCUACCUGUUGUGUGGUCUGAACCAGCUCCUGCCCUCUCUGGGCCUGGUGAGGGGGAGGUGCCAUGCUCUCCUAUGAAGAACGCAGUGUGGCAGUGGGAAGAAUUAUUUUUCUGCGUUUCUAAGCUCUUUUAUGUGCCUCUUCUUUCAGUCACAGACGCCAGGGUCUCAGGGAGGACCAGAACUGGGGAUCUGAGGACAAAAGGGAAGGCUUGAUGUUAGCUUCUGAGUGAACGUGCUGCUGCUGUUGCUAGCCCACUGAUAAUGGCCCGGAGAACCGGCAGGGGAGGGGCUCCCAAGUCUAGACAUGUUCUUUGCACAUCAAGAGCCAGAUUACAGGAUUGUGGACAGGAUGAGGAGAGCAGGGAGAGGACACAGAGGCCACCAUACUGGGAGUGAGAGGGACAGGGAAGACACUCAGGGAUCCUGUGGUCCUGGGUGGGGAGGGUCUGGGUCAGUCUCUGCUUCUCAUGAUGUGGAAGGGGAGGCAGGCUUUGAUGGCCCCUGGAGGUGCUCAGCUGCCUCAGCCCAUACCCGUUAGGACACUUUCUCAUCUGUGAAGUUCUCCUGGAACCAGUGCAGGAUUUGUGGGGUUCAAGGAGCCGGUGCCAACUGUGGUGCCAGUUGCAAGAGGCAGGGAGAGGAGCCACAGGUAGAGCAAGUGUUACCUGGGGCACUGGGUAGGGGGUGUGGCCCAAUCUGCAUGCCCACCCUGCUGGUUCCUUCAGGAAGCCACAUCAGCUCCUGUCUCCAUCCGGGAAGCCAUGGUGAGAAAAGGACUAUUUUUUUUUUUUCUUGUGUGGGGCUAGGGUUGGAACCACAGGCCUGCCUGAUAGGCCCUCUACCACCAAGCUUUUAAAAUGGUUUCUCUUCAGUUUCCCUUUGCAGUGUUUGUUGGAAUCCAGGUCCUCACAAAUGCUAAACAAACCCUCAAGCACUGAGCCACACCCCUGCCAUUUGGGGACAAAGUAUAAAGGCAUUCCAGAAGCACCAUGGCAGGGUGACUGGUGACAGUGGUCAGAAAGCUAUGAUCUACUUGGAAACCCUCCCACCAUGUGACAGUAUCUGCAGUGAUUAUAAAGAGGGCGGACAGACCUGUGUGCUGGCUCUCCUGCGCUCCGGGCUUUGUAGCUAUUGCUGUUCCUGCGGUGCAUGGGGAGGUGAGAAGAAAAGCCUCAAAGGCAAGGAAGAGUUGUGCCUGCAGCUCACUCUGGGACACUGGGAGAGGAAAGAGGGUAGUUGUCCCACAAUGACCUUUGUUAUGAGGCAUCUCGGCAGAGCUGCCUGGAGUUGGACUGGUCCCACCUCUGAUUGGGUCUCAGUCUUGCAGGUAUAAAGAGGAACCACACAGGAAUGCUGAGUUCUUCUGCCCUCAGACAGCAGGAUGAGGCCCUCUCCUGCUCUGACUGACUUGCUGGUCACUUCCACUGAAAGGAGAUAAUUUCCCAGGAGAGGGAAAGGUUUUCUGGCACAUGGUGCCUGCCUGCGGCUUCAAGGACUUUCACUUAUGUGGUGGAGUCCCCUAUAUGGUCACUAGUGAGGCUUUAAGCCAUCCUCCCAACAGGGGUUGACAGGUAUCAUUUUUGGGAAAGACCCACCUUUAGGGAUAGUGUCUCUCUUUCCACAUGUGCCUAUCCCAGGUGAUUUGCAAAGGUGGACAUCAUUUUUUUUAAGACAUAGCUUUUUAUUGGUCUAAUUUACAUGCCAAGAGACCGGCUUGGGCAACUUUCUCCAUGUGCCCUCUGUUGAGAGCUCCUGGCUUGCCCCAGGAAAGAAGAGUGUCCUGGUCAGGGGUUGACAGACAUUCAGUUGGGACCUGAAGGGGCUCAGGGUGAUGGAGAGAUGGGGCCUCAGGGCAGAAGGAGAGCAGUGCCCUGAACAGCCCAUGCCUUGACAGGAUGGGAGGGAUUAGAAGGGAAGAACUUUCCCAGCAGCUCCUACUGUGCCCUUCAAGCCAUCAGCAGGUGGACAUCAUUCUUGACUGAUGCUAGUGUUCCUAUACUCUGGGAUGGAACCUCCAGCAGAGUCAAUAAGAUGAGGAGAUAAAGUUCGUGAUCUGCCCAAGGCCACGUGGCUAGCAAUUCUCAGACCAGUUCUGACCGUAUCUCCAGAGAACUUUAAACCAUGAGGGAAGGGAGAUCUAGAACUUAGAAAGCUCCAGAGCCAAGGAUAAAUGGAUGGCAUCAUUGCCACCUCCUAGUGGCCAUGUAUCCACAGUACCAUGAGGGUCACUCGAGCAGCAGGGCAAUCCUCGGAGAGUGACAGACAGUUGUUCAUGUGUCAGGUUCAGUUUUAUGUAGUACUGAUAGAGAUGCCCAGUUUCAAGGGCUGCCUUGUCUGCUGGGGUAGAAUCUGGAAGGGUGGUAGGGGGUGUACUGGGAUUGUGGAAUUAGAGGGGUAUUUCUGGGGUCUGGGUCAGAUAGAAAUCUAGAAAUUUCCUGGUGUCUUUGGUGCUUGUGUGUGUGUGGGAGAGCCAAGAGGAGUGGUGACUAUGGGAGGAGCAGCCUGUGCCAUGGCCCUGCAGUGAGGGAGCUUGGCUCAAAGAAUAUUGAGUAUCACAGAAGGCUAAGGUGAGGGUGGGGACUGGAUCCUGGGUAAGAGAUGGAGGAGGCCACAGGGGUGGUGAGAUGGGAGCUAGGGUGCUCCUCAGGGCAGAACUAGGGCUAGAAUGUGUGAUCCCCAGCUAGGAGGUCUCUGGCAUGAAUGAGAUGGGAAGCUGUGGCUCCUGGCUAGCUUGGCUCAACAACUAAUGCUCACUUUAGAGGCUCAGGGCUGCAACAUGCCCUCCAGGUCUGGGCAGGGAAGAGAGGGAAGCCCUCCGUUUUACACUCCUUCCCUAACCUCGAGGCCAUGCCAGGAACCCGGCCUGGAGGUACCCCUGCCUGACAGAAUAGAGAGCUGGGCCCACAGUACCUCAACCUGAACUAGUUUAAAGCACCCAGGAACUCUAGGUGUGGUGCUACACAUCUGUAGUUGCAGCUUCUGGGGAGGCAGAGCUGGUGGAUCGGAGUUCGAGGCCAGCCUGGCAACUCUGUGAACUCCUGUCCCAAAAGGAAAAGUAACAUCACGGCAGAGAAAGCUGAGGUAGACCAGUUAUCUAGCAUGCCUGAGACCCUGGGCUCCAUCUUCUAUGUCAAGCACAUGGAUGCACACACAGGCACAGGCAUAUGAUGUAUACACAGGCAUGCACACAGCACACACAGACACACAGACUGAGUGAGGGCUGGGUAGAGAAACCCCCUUGCAGGAGGCUGUCUUUCACACAUCAGCAUCUCCCUGCUCAUGGCAUUGUGGGUCCCAUCCUGUAGGUGAGAAGGCUCCUCAAGAGUCUGGGGGCAGGUGGUGGAGAAACAGCUCUGAGUCCCUGUGUGUUUGCAUGCUGAGCCUCCCUGGCAGGGCGAAACCUGCCCUAAAGGAGGAGUGUGCACCAGAUCUGACAGCAGAUGACAGAGGUUAAAGCAAAUACUAUCCUGGUGGCCAAGCCUAGGUCUCAUGAGGCAGGAAGCCACAUGAAGGCUGGGAAGAAAGCCUUGGGAAGGCUCAGCCUGCUGCCUGGUCUGCCCUGGGGAGCAUCCUUUGGAAGGAGGAGAGAUCCCAUUGGUCUUCUCAUGCACAACACAUUCUUCCCCAGCCAACCAGCCCUAGGCUCUCUGCACAUUCAUACAUCACUACAUCUCAUCUCAACUCCCAUGAAAAUGUUUCCACUCCUCGACUGCUUCAUCCUUCUUUCCCUCUCUCCCUUCCUGCCCUCCCUCCAUUGCUCCAGCCCUUCCUCCAUCCAUCCACGUAUCCAUCUACGUACUCCAUCACACAUCCCCAUUCCAGCAUCUGUCCCCAUUCCUCUAUCCCUCCCGUUUCCCUUCCUCCAUCCAUCCAUUUAUCACAUCCAUCCCUUCACUUCCAGCAUUCUUUUAUCUCUCCUGCUUCUUUCCCUCCCUCCCAACAUCUUCCCCACCCUCCUCCUCUUUCUCUCU
rnacentral:sRNA from 1 species